AACGAACGCUGGCGGCAGGCCUAACACAUGCAAGUCGAGCGCCCAGCAAUGGGAGCGGCAGACGGGUGAGUAACGCGUGGGAACCUUCCCAAUGGUACGGAAUAGCUCAGGGAAACUUGAGGUAAUACCGCAUAAGCCCGAAAGGGGAAAGAUUUAUCGCCAUUGGAUGGGCCCGCGUAGGAUUAGCUAGUUGGUGAGGUAAUGGCUCACCAAGGCGACGAUCCUUAGCUGGUUUGAGAGAAUGACCAGCCACACUGGGACUGGGACACGGCCCAGACUCCUACGGGAGGCAGCAGUGGGGAAUCUUGGACAAUGGGCGAAAGCCUGAUCCAGCCAUGCCGCGUGAGUGACGAAGA
rnacentral:rRNA from 1 species